rnacentral:misc_RNA from 1 species
AGUCGUAACAAGGUUUCUGUAGGUGAACCUGCAGAAGGAUCAUUAGUGAAAGUUUCGGGCCUGCCAUACGGACGCAAACACGUCUCUGGCGCCCAUCACUAUAUCCAUACCAACCCCUGUGCACUGUGAUGACGAAUGUCAUCGAACAAAAAAAACUCGUAUGGUUGAAUGUACGUGAAAUUGUAGGUAUAGCCUACGAACUAUACACAACUUUCGACAACGGAUCUCUUGGUUCUCCCAUCGAUGAAGAACGCAGCGAAACGCGAUAGGUAAUGUGAAUUGCAGAAUUCCGUGAAUCAUCGAAUCUUUGAACGCACCUUGCGCUCCAUGGUAUUCCGUGGAGCAUGCCUGUUUGAGUGCCGCGAAUUCUCCCUCCCCUUACGGUGGCCGAAAGGCCGAAGUAGGGCGGACGGGGUAGGAUGGGUGUUGCUGCCUGGGGAUUGUACCAGGCUCGCCCGAAAUGCAUAAGCGCCAGGACCCUCGCUACCGCUCUCUAGGGAAGAGUGGCUAAGCGACCGCUGAGCAUGGCAUGAUACGUCAUUUGCUGUGUGUGGGCGGCCGGUUGGAGAGGUGUCUGCUUUACCAGCCCUUUUUUAAUUCUGGUCUC